AGUGAACGCUGGCGGUAGGCCUAACACAUGCAAGUCGAACGGCAGCACAGUAAGAGCUUGCUCUUACGGGUGGCGAGUGGCGGACGGGUGAGGAAUACAUCGGAAUCUACUUUUUCGUGGGGGAUAACGUAGGGAAACUUACGCUAAUACCGCAUACGACCUACGGGUGAAAGCAGGGGAUCUUCGGACCUUGCGCGAUUGAAUGAGCCGAUGUCGGAUUAGCUAGUUGGCGGGGUAAAGGCCCACCAAGGCGACGAUCCGUAGCUGGUCUGAGAGGAUGGAUCGGCACCACGGAAGCGAGGACACGUCCAGGCCCCUGAGGGGAGGCACCGUUGGGAAUUUUUGGCCAAGGGGGGGAGCCCUAUCCCAGCCAACCCGCGUGGGUGAGAAGGCCCUACGGGUGGUAAGGCCCUUUGGUGGGGAAAAAAAGCAGGCGGUUUAUAACCCGGCUGUUUGACGGUAACCAAAGAAUAAGCACCGGCUAACUUCGUG
rnacentral:rRNA from 1 species